GUGCUCGCUUUGGCAGCACAUAUACUAAAACUGGAAUGAUACAGAGAAGAUUAGCAUGGCCCCUGUGCAAGGAUGACACGCAAAUUCCUGAAGCGUUCCAUAUUUAA
rnacentral:snRNA from 1 species